GUCAAAUCAUCAUGCCCCUUAUGACCUGGGCUACACACGUGCUACAAUGGGCGGUACAAAGGGCUGCGAACCCGCGAGGGGGAGCGAAUCCCAAAAAGCGCGUCUCGGUUCGGAUUGGAGGCUGAAACUCGCCUCCAUGAAGGUGGAGUUGCUAGUAAUCGCGGAUCAGCAAUGCCGCGGUGAAUACGUUCCCGGGUCUU
rnacentral:rRNA from 1 species